GCACUGCUGACGAGUCCCACAAUAGAAUGAAACACCCGUCCAGUGC
rfam:Schistosoma curassoni strain Dakar, Senegal genome assembly, scaffold: SCTD_contig0000465